rnacentral:rRNA from 1 species
AUUGAACGCUGGCGGCAGGCCUAACGCAUGCAAGUCGAGCAGAUGAAGGGAGCUUGCUCCUGGAUUCAGCGGCGGACGGGUGAGUAAUGCCUAGGAAUCUGCCUGGUAGUGGGGGAUAACGUCCGGAAACGGGCGCUAAUACCGCAUACGUCCUGAGGGAGAAAGUGGGGGAUCUUCGGACCUCACGCUAUCAGAUGAGCCUAGGUCGGAUUAGCUAGUUGGUGGGGUAAAGGCCUACCAAGGCGACGAUCCGUAACUGGUCUGAGAGGAUGAUCAGUCACACUGGAACUGAGACACGGUCCAGACUCCUACGGGAGGCAGCAGUGGGGAAUAUUGGACAAUGGGCGAAAGCCUGAUCCAGCCAUGCCGCGUGUGUGAAGAAGGUCUUCGGAUUGUAAAGCACUUUAAGUUGGGAGGAAGGGCAGUAAGUUAAUACCUUGCUGUUUUGACGUUACCAACAGAAUAAGCACCGGCUAACUUCGUG